AGUUACAUUUUCGCUCUGCUUCCUGGCUCCUCCCUUCCCACUUCGCUUCACAUCAAUCCCACCUCUCUCACUCACUCUCCAAAAUCGAGAAUCGAGAACAUAUACGGAGAGUAGGUGGGUGAGUGUUUCGUCUUCGAACACAGAAGAUAACAACUUGCAUCUUAAGUGGUGAAAAUGUUGCAGCCGAAAUCUGUAGGUGUGGUUGUAUUCUUGUGGUUACUAGCUUGGUCUCCAAUGGCGGAAUCGGCGAUAGGUGUGAACUGGGGCACGAUUUCAUCUCACAGGUUGAAGCCAUCUACGGUGGUGGAUCUCUUGAAAGACAACAAGAUCCCGAAAGUGAAGCUGUUUGAAGCGGAGCCUGAUGUUCUUAAGGCUCUUAUGGGAAGUGGGAUUCAGAUCAUGGUUGGAAUCCCAAAUGAGAUGUUGUCUCUCUUGGGCUCUUCCCCUUCUGCUGCUGAUUUGUGGGUUCGCCAGAAUGUUUCGUCGUUUAUCGGUAAAGGUGGUGCGGAUAUCAGAUAUGUUGCUGUUGGAAAUGAGCCAUUUCUGACAAGUUAUAACGGUCAAUUUCAGAACUUGGUCAUGCCUGCAAUGCUCAAUCUACAGCAGUCUUUAGUUAAAGCUAAUCUUGCAGGUUAUGUAAAACUAGUGGUACCCUGCAAUGCAGAUGCCUAUGAGGCUACACUUCCUUCUCAAGGCACGUUCCGUCCUGAACUGACCCAAAUUAUGACUCAACUUGUUCAGUUUCUUAAUGCAAAUGGUUCCCCAUUUGUAGUAAACAUCUACCCAUUUUUAAGCCUUUAUGAUAAUGCUGAUUUUCCCCAAGACUAUGCAUUCUUUGAAGGAACUACUCAUCCAGUCACCGAUGGCACCAGCCUCUACACCAAUGCAUUCGAUGGAAACUAUGACACUUUAGUUUCUGCCCUCAAUAAACUUGGAUAUGGUCAAAUGCCGAUAGUAAUUGGGGAAAUUGGCUGGCCCUCGGAUGGAGCUAUUGGUGCAAAUAUUACUGCAGCAAGGGUUUUCAACCAAGGUCUCAUAAAGCAUAUUAUGAGUAACAAAGGGACUCCCUUAAGGCCAGGUGCCCCUCCCAUGGAUGUUUAUAUAUUCAGUCUGCUUGAUGAAGGCGCGAAAAGCACACUUCCUGGAAACUUUGAAAGACAUUGGGGGAUUUUCUCCUUUGAUGGGCAGGCUAAGUAUCCACUAAACCUUGGUCUUGGAAACAAGGAAUUGAAGAAUGCUAAGAAUGUUGAGUACCUGCCCUCUAGAUGGUGUGUUGCCACUCCCUCGACCGAUCUGACAAAUGUAGUGAACCACAUGAGAAUUGCCUGUAGUGUUGCAGACUGCACGACACUUAAUUAUGGGGGUUCGUGCAAUGGGAUAGGGGAGAAGGGUAACAUCUCAUAUGCUUUCAAUAGUUACUAUCAGCUGCAAAUGCAAGAUUCGCGAAGCUGUGAUUUCGAUGGCCUUGGUAUGGUCACUUUCCUGGACCCAUCAGUUGGGGAUUGCCGUUUUCUUGUGGGAGUCACGGAUAAAGGCUCAAAUUCAUCUUGUUCUGAAACAGCAAUACACUGUGAAAGCACUUAGAACUUCAGCGCAAUACCAUGAUUUUUUGGGUGCUUAGUGUAGAAUGACUUCUUUCCAGGGAUUUGGGAGUAAUUUCCCCCUUUUCUUUCACCUCUGGUGAAUGCCCAAAUGAAUCAAUCACGGUGAAGAAUCACUUGGCAAGGCAUCGUCCCGCGUCAACUAGAUUGCAAUGGAGCUGAAGUGGUCAGAUUUGUAACUAGAAUCGAGAACCGUUGAUAUAGUUGCUGAUCUUUACAGUAAUCUCACCUAACUUCCAUGGAAAAGGAAUUACUGACUGAUCUUUGCAAACAUUGCGCUUUUUGGAAGUUAUCUCGUUGAGCUACAUUACCACAUCAUAGUUCAGAAUUUUCUGUUCUGAGGUUGGCUCAAAAAAACAAAAAAUAGUUCUGAGGAAAAAUCGUCGUUACCGUUGUCUAUUGGCUCUGUUUGUCGUAUUUCAGUGAAAUUUAGUGCAAAGGAGAUAAUUAGAUGCUGACAUUACACGCUCCAAUGGCAACGCCAUCGCGGCUUCUAUCGGUUUCCCGAAGGGCUUUUUCUGCUGCUUUGAAAAGUGAACGUGGGGUUUCCAUGGUUCAAGGAGCUUCCAGAGGAAUAGGUCUUGAAUUUGUAAAACAGCUACUAGAGAAUGAUGAUAAAGGGCAUGUCAUUGCUACCUGCCGUAAUCCUAAUGGGUCAACUGGGCUUGUCAAUCUGAAAGACAAAUUUGCUGAACGUUUAAGAAUAUUACAGUUGGAUUUGACCUUUGAAAGCUCAAUUGAGGUCAUGCUUUCCCCUUCAUUGUUCCCUUUCUGUCGUUCACAGAUAGAAGCUUGUAUUCAGACACCAAAAGGGAGGUUAUUAAUCUUUUUAGUUAUUUCGGUUCCCAUAUCCUAUUUACAUUAGCUGCCAUCAGUAGAAGUAAUGUAAUUCACAUUCGGCCAGGAGUUACAAUUAGAGCAUGUGCAUUCCAUCUUUUUUCAAUUUACUCUUUUCUGGUAAGAUGCACUUUGGAUUAUCUAUUUAACCUGUGAUGUUUUAUUUUCAUAGUUUAUGUGUUUUUUAAAUUAUUCAUGUCAUGAAACUCUUGUCGUGUCCAUUUAGGUUAGGAAUGUGUAUAAAAGAGAUAUCUUCAAACAAUGAGUUUGUCACAAUUUGGUAGAAAAUAAUUCAAUAUAUAAUAUUUAUUCUUUUUAAUUUACUCUUUUCUGGUAAGGUGCUCUUUUUGUGGUUGUUCAAUGAACUUUGGAUUAUCUAUUUAACCUGUGAUGUUUCAUUUUCCUUGUUUAUGCACUUUUUAAGUUAUUCAUCUUAUGAAACUAUUGUCCUGUGCAUUUAGGCUAGGAAUGUGUAUAAAAGAGAUAUCUUCUAAUAUUCUUUCUUUUAUGGGCAUUCUGAUGAUUUGUUGCUUCUGUUAGACAUGAAUUAUUCCUAAACUUAUAUGUUUUUAAUGUAUGGUCCAUCAUUUUUAAAGGCAACUGCAAGGGCAAUAAAGGAGACAUAUGGCCAUCUAAACCUUCUGAUCAAUGCAUCUGGCAUUCUGUCUAUACCAGAAGUAUUACAGCCAG